rnacentral:lncRNA from 1 species
UCUCCUCUUCCAGGGAUAAGGGCAUUCAGAAACUUCAUAUAAUCAGAAGAGUUGGUCAAGUUUCGGCGCACGCUUAGCUGUUGCCAAUUGAGAUUACAAAUUUGGUGCUCGUCUGAAAGUUUGUGCGCGUAGCUGUUGCCACUCCAAAUUGUGAUGCUCCUUAUCUGAAAGCCACUCGCAUUCUUCGUAGUCACGCCGUGGUGAUGCAAAGGCAUACGCAUCAUAAUGCAUAAACA